rnacentral:lncRNA from 1 species
CCACAUACUACACAAAGUCACCAAAAACAUACAUUGGAGAAAAGUUAGCCUCUUCAACAAAUGGUGAUGCGAAAACUGGAAAUCAAUAUGCAGCAAAAUGAAACUAAAUCACUCUCUCUCACCAUGCACAAAACUCAUUCAUAGUGGACCAAGGACCUAGGAAUUAAGCCAAAGAACCAUUACCUAAGAAAAGAAAAAGCAUGCCAAAAUGUUCAUCAUGUUGAAUUAGGCCCCAACUUCCUUAAUAAGACUCCUAGAGCACAGGAAUUAAAAUCAAGAAUCAAUAAAUGGAUGGAUUCAAACUGAACAGCUUCUCAGCAAAAGAAACAACCAGUGAGGUGAAGAGACAUACUACAUCCUGGGAGCAAAUUCUUACCACACACAUAUCAGAUACAGAGCUCAUCUCUAGGAUAUUUAAAGAACUCAAUCUUAACACCAAAAACCACCCAAAUAAACCAAUCAAUAAAUGGGCCAAGGAAUUCAAUGUGCACUUCUCAGAAUAUGAUAUACAAUUGAGCAACAAAUAUAUAUGAAAAGUUCAAAAUAGCAAUUAGAGAAAUGCAAAUCAAAAUUAAGAUACUAUCUCACUCCAGUUAGAAUGGCAGCUAUUUUGAAGGCAAAAAACAAGUGCUGGUUAGGAUAUGGAGGAAAAGAUUCACCUGCAGUGUAUGAGUGUGACUGCAAAUUGGUGCAGCCAAUAUGAAAAGAAUUAUGGAGAUUCCUUGGAAAUCUGGGAAUGGAACCACCAUUUAACCCAGCUAUUCCUCUUCUUGGACUAUACCCAAAGGACGUAAAAACAGGAUACUAGAGGGACACAGACACGUCAAU